AUGAACGCUAGCUACAGGCUUAACACAUGCAAGUCGAGGGGAAACGACAUCGAAAGCUUGCUUUUGAUGGGCGUCGACCGGCGCACGGGUGAGUAACGCGUAUCCAACCUGCCCAUCACUUGGGGAUAACCUUGCGAAGGUAAGACUAAUACCCAAUGAUAUCUCUAGAAGACAUCUGAAAGAGAUUAAAGAUUUAUCGGUGAUGGAUGGGGAUGCGUCUGAUUAGCUUGUUGGCGGGGUAACGGCCCACCAAGGCAACGAUCAGUAGGGGUUCUGAGAGGAAGGUCCCCCACAUUGGAACUGAGACACGGUCCAAACUCCUACGGGAGGCAGCAGUGAGGAAUAUUGGUCAAUGGGCGAGAGCCUGAACCAGCCAAGUAGCGUGCAGGAAGACGGCCCUAUGGGUUGUAAACUGCUUUUAUAAGGGAAUAAAGUGAGAGUCGUGACUCUUUUUGUAUGUACCUUAUGAAUAAGGACCGGCUAAUUCCGUG
rnacentral:rRNA from 1 species